UACGAAGGUCCCAAGCGUUGUUCGGAAUCACUGGGCGUAAAGGGUGCGUAGGCGGUUUGGUAAGUCCGAUGUGAAAUCCCGGGGCUCAACCCCGGAACUGCAUCCGAUACUGCCAGACUAGAGGACUGGAGAGGUGACUGGAAUUCUCGGUGUAGCAGUGAAAUGCGUGGAGAUCGAGAGGAACACUCGUGGCGUAAGCGAGUCACUGGACAGUAUCUGACGCUGAGGCACGAAGGCCAGGGUAGCGAAAGGG
rnacentral:rRNA from 1 species